AUAAAAAUUAGUUAACUUUUAUAAUAUCAGCUUGUCAAGCUCAAGUAAUCUUCGGAUAUUUUUA
rnacentral:tRNA from 1 species